rnacentral:lncRNA from 10 species
AUUUCAAUUUGGUUUUAAAAAGAUACACUUUUUUUAACUUUAUCUAACAGGAUCCCAAAAACUCUUUUAUCAUGAUUAAUCCAAGUACAAGUUUCUUUUGAUAGCUUUUCACAAAAAAUUUGUUGUCAUUUUAUUUUAUUGUUUGACAAGGUAAGAAAAGAUGUGGUUGAGUUGUUCCACUGAUACAUUCUUGGUGGUAAGUAAACUCUCAAGGUGACAAUUAACCUUUGGCAUUUCUAAUCAUUCUUUUUUCCAUCCUCAAACAACUCAACCAUAAAAUAUGAUGCACCUCAACAUAAGUUCAUUAACUAAAACAAAUUACCAAGCGACUUUAGAAAUUGAAGAACGAAGUGUUAGGAACAGCAACAGUCCCACCCUACUCCCUCCUUUACUCUGCUAUAAUUUGCCUGAUACUCUAUUAAAGCAUAUAUUUAUUUAAAUUUAAAAUUCCAGUAAGUUUCUUUCAUAUUUUUUAAUACAAAUAAGUGAAUUUCAAUGAGCAAAGGGUCACCAUCAGUUUUUUAUCCCUGUUCAUAAAUGUUCAAAAUGUUUUGCAUAACCUUAUAUCACCUGGUGUUUUUUAUCAUUGUUUGUUAUCUUGCACAUUUCUAUUAUGUUACUUCUUUGCUGAUUUUAUUACCAGUAUUUUAAUUUUAUCCUUGUUUUGUGCUAUUUUAUAGAUGAACAUUCUUUUGUUUCCUGUUACCUAUUUCCAAGUUAUGAACUCAUUCUCACUAGAUUCCUUGUUGAUAUUUUUCUGAUAGAAUAUGUUUAUUUCCGGUUCUACAAUAUAAGACUAAUGUUUAAAUGCAUCUUUCUUUCCUUCUCUUUCUUUCUCUCUCUCUCUCCCUCCCUCCCUCCCUCCUUUCCUCCCUUCCUUCCUUCCUUCCCUGCUUUCUUAUUUUUUUUUUUUUUGAUUUGGUGAGACGGGUCUUGCUUUGGUACCCAGGCUGGACUUCAACUCGUAGGCUCAAGUGAUCCUCCCACUUCAGCCUUCACAAUAACUGGUGCUACAGACACACACCACCACACCUGGCUUCUUGAAUACAUUGAAUCUAUUUAUAUUGAUUAGUUUCAAAUAUGUAUUUCUAUAUUAUGGCCUGAUGGACAUAAUAAUAAUAUUACAAGGUAUGCUAAAAAUAAAAAUGUGUUACAGAAUUCCCAUUUUAUUAUUUCUUUUUUUCUUUCUUUUUGACCUGAUAACAGAAAAGAGCAUCUUCUCAGAUAGACAAAAUCUCCUUUUAUUCAGGCAUGAAUAAGAAAAUAUUUUUUAAAAAAUAACUGUUCAAUUUCCUUUUCCUUUUCAAGAGAUAAAUAAUAUGCUUUAGUAGUGAUCCAUCAUUUUAGAAUUACCUCUCUAGGAAAGGCAAUUAAUGUUCAAAUCAUGUGUUAAUCUUGAACAAUUAUUAGUUUCUGUCAAAAGAGCUCUACUGAGAAAAAUUCAAAAAGAAUAUUUAGUCCCAAUGAAUCAGGUUCCCUAUUUUUCUUAGAUCACUUUCUGUAUUAAGUACAGACACCUACUGCUAUGAAAAAAAACAUGGUAUAUCUAAAUCACGUUCUCUGUCAACUGCUACUUCUUUGAUCUGAGUUUUACUGCCUUCUCUUGUUUUCCCUGGUUUGUUGGUUGGUUGUCCAAUGAGAAAAGCUUACAUUAAAUGUCAAAUGAAUAAUUUUCAAAUUUAGAGGUAGAGAAACUGAGCUUCAGAGAAGGGACAUGGAUUAUAUUCUAUUGUUCAGAGGCUACCAGGUUUGAAUUAGACCUAUCUUGGUUCAAUUUUGUCACACAUUAUCAAUGCAACAAAAAGCAAGGUUUCUUAAAAAUCUCUGAGCAUCAGUUUUCUUCAUCUUUAAGAUGAAGUUAAUAAAAUUUAUUUUAUUGUAUUUCUGAAAGAAAAAAUGCAAGAUAAUCCACAUGGAUAAUUAUGAUGAUGCCAGGCAGGAUGUAAAAAUAAGAAAUAUUUGCAGUUACAGGAGUGAGUAUAAUUUUAAUGACUGCUUUUUCUGUGUUAUUUUCUCUUCCAUUCUUGGUCUUCAGCUAGCAGGCAGAGUAACUGUUAUUGGAAUGUGGGUCUCAUUACAAAGACAUCUUGCUGAAUAGUCUCUGAUGGAAAAAGACUUAACAUCUUGACCACAAUGUACAAAUUCCUUCUUAUAGAAUGAGAAUAUUCAACGAUGACAAUUCACAUUGUUUUCUUACCUUGAGAUAAAUAGACACCUGUAUGAAAAUGUGAAGUACUUACCUCAUCUUGUUCCAAAAAGGCAACUAAGAAAAGAAAAGGAAAAUUAAAAAGUAGUCCUAGCUAAUGCAGUAAGACAAGAAAAUAAAAUAAAAGGUAUACAGAGUCAAAAGGAAGAAAUAAAACUAUCUUUGCAGAUAAUAUGAUAAUCUAUGUAGAAAAGCCCAAAGAAUUGACAAAAAAAAAUUUAAAAACCUCCUUGAACCAAUAAGUGAUUAUACUAGGUUGCACCAUACAAGAUUAAUACACAAAAAUCAAUAAUUUUCAUAAACCAGAAACAAACAAGUAGAAUUUGAAAUUUAAUACAAAAUACUAUUUUUGUUAGUGCUUCCCAGAACGAGAAAUACUUUGGCAUAAAUAUAAUAAAAUAUGUAAAAGAUCUAUAUGAGGAAAACUACAAACUUCUGAUGAAAUAUGUCAAAGAAGGACUUAAUAUGUAGAGAUAUUUCAUGUUCAUGGGUAGGGAGACUCAAUAUUGUCAAGAUGGAAGUUCUUCACAAUUUGGCCUAUAGAUUCAAUGCAAUCUCAAUAGAAAUGUUAUCAAGUUGGCCAGGCUUAGUGGCUUACACCUGUAAUUCCAGCACUUUGGGAGGCC